GUGCUUGCUUCGGCAGCACAUAUACUGAAAUUGGAUCGAAACAGAGAAGGUUAGUACGGCCCCUGCACAAGGAUGACACGUAAAUCCAUGAAGCAUUUCAUAUUAAA